UUUGCCUACGGGAGGCAGCAGUGGGGAAUAUUGCACAAUGGGGGAAACCCUGAUGCAGCAACGCCGCGUGAGUGAAGAAGUAUUUCGGUAUGUAAAGCUCUAUCAGCAGGGAAGAAGGAAGACGGUACCUGACUAAGAAGCCCCGGCUAACUACGUGCCAGCAGCCGCGGUAAUACGUAGGGAGCGAGCGUUAUCCGGAUUUACUGGGUGUAAAGGGAGCGUAGACGGUGCAGCAAGUCUGAUGUGAAAGGUCGGGGCCCAACCCCGGGACUGCAUUGGAAACUGUUGAAGUGG
rnacentral:rRNA from 1 species